AUGGUGGAGGGGCAGGUCCUGGUGCUGGAUAGUCACGGCCAACUCCUGGGCUGCCUGGCGGCCAUCGUGGCUAAACAGGUACUGCUGGGCCGGAAGGUCUUGGUCGUAUGCUGCGAAGGCAUCAACCUUUCUGGCAAUUUCUACAGAAACAAGGUGAAUUACCUGGCUUUCCUCUGCAAGCUGGUGAACACCAACUCUUCCAGAGGCCCCUACCACUUCCGGGCCCCCGGCCGCAUCUUCUGGUGGACUGUGCGAGGCAUGCUGCCCCGCAAGAUCAAGCGGGGCCACGCUGCCCUGGACCGCCUCAAGGUGUUUGACGGCAUCCCACCGCCCUACAAGAAAAACCGGAUGGUGAUUCCUGUCGCCCUCAAGGUUGUGCGUCUGAACCCUACAAAGAAGUUUGCCUAUCUGGGGCGCCUGGCUCACGAGGUUGGCUGGAAGUACCAGGCAGUGACAGCCACCCUGGAGGAAAAGAGAAAGGAGAAAGCCAAGAUCCACUUCUGGAAGAAGAAACAGCUCACGAGGCUACGAAACAGGCUGAGAAGAACGUGGAGAAGAAAACUGACAAAUACACAGAGGUCCUCAAGACCCACGAACUCCUGGUCUGAGCCGGACAAAGACUGUUAAGUCCUCAAAAAAAAAAAAAAAAAGAAAAAAAAGAUACGUAGUAGGUAGCGAAAUUUUACCACACUAGUCAUGGGAGAAAACUGACAAAAAAGCAACGUGCCAUAAUUUUUUUGAGACUUUUUUUUUUGAGACAGGGGCUCACUCUGUUGCUCAGACUGGAGUGCAGUGCCACGAUCUUGGCUCACUGCAACCUCUGCCUCCUGGGUUCAACUGACUCUCCCACCUCAGCCUCCCAAGUAAAUGAAAUUACACAGGCACAAACCACCACACCUGGCUAGUUUUUGUAUUUUUUUGCAGAGACGGGAUUUCACCAUGUUGGUCAGGCUGCUCUUGAACUCCCGACCUCAAGUGAUCCACCUGCCUCCCAAAAUGCUGGGAUUACAGGCAUGAGCCACCACAUCCAGCCGGUGCAAUAAUUUUUGAAACAAAUUUUGGCUGCUGGUGUGACUGGCAGGGAAAGAUGAAUAUUUCUACAAGGAAUCUGAUGGCAAUGCUGGCUUCUUAAAGGGUUUUGAAUGUUGAUAACACAGGUUCUUUGAGGACAGUUUGCUUUGGCGACAUUGGCCCAUCUCAGGGGGUGCCUGGAGCCCUCCUCUCCUGGCAGUCUCUUGUGACCUGUGCCAUGCCAGAUCCCUGAGUCAGAGAUAGCAGAAAGCAAGCAGAGUCACAUGUUAGUAGUUGACUCUAGGUGGUAUUCAGGUGUUCACUGCCGAAAUUGUUUUAGCUUUGUUGAAUGUUUAAAAUUUUUCAUAAUAAA